AGGGACCGUGUGUGGUGGCAGUUGACUGGGGCGGUCUCCUCCUAAAGCGUAACGGAGGAGUUCGAAGGUACGCUAAAUACGGUCGGAAAUCGUGUUGAUAGUGCAUUGGCAUAAGCGUGCUUGACUGCGAGACUGACAAGUCGAGCAGGUACGAAAGUAGGACAAAGUGAUCCGGUGGUUCUGUAUGGAAGGGCCAUCGCUCAACGGAUAAAAGGUACUCUGGGGAUAACAGGCUGAUACCGCCCAAGAGUUCAUAUCGACGGCGGUGUUUGGCACCUCGAUGUCGGCUCAUCUCAUCCUGGGGCUGUAGCCGGUCCCAAGGGUAUGGCUGUUCGCCAUUUAAAGAGGUACGUGAGCUGGGUUUAAAACGUCGUGAGACAGUUUUGGUCCCUAUCUUCCGUGGGCGCUGCAAGAUUGAGAGAACCUGCUCCUAGUACGAGAGGACCGG
rnacentral:rRNA from 1 species